rnacentral:sRNA from 1 species
UUUUUCUUUCUCUUGCUUUUAGGAUAUUUUACUAUAUUUGGUGCCUGCUUAUGGUACAAGAAAAAAAGAUCUUAGGCUAUUUUCUGAGAGGCUAAGAAAAACCAAGGACUUCAAAAAGCUUGGAACAACCUAACUAGGGGAAUCUAUACUAAGAACCCAUAAAAUAAAGCUAAAUUCUGUAAUUAAGAGGGCCAGGGAACCUAGGAUAAAGAGAGGUUUUGAAAAAUGCUAGUUUCUGCUUCUAUCCUCUCCCUUAUGAUGAUUUUCCCAAAUCUGUUUACCCAGGUGUUCCAGGGUAUACUGGAGCACCACAGAUGCUCGCAAGCGCUGUGUAUAUACAUGCAAGAUAGUGGAGUGCCGUCCUCCAGUCGUAGAGCCGGAUAUCAACAGCACUGUUGAACAUGAUGAAAACAGGACCAUUGCCCAUAGUCCAACAUCUUUUACAGAAAGUUCAUCAAAAGAGAGUCAAAACACAGCUGAAAUUAUAAGUCCUCCAUCACCAGACCGACCUCCUCAUUCACAAACCUCUGGCUCCUGUUAUUAUCAUGUCAUCUCAAAGGUCCCCAGGAUUCGAACACCCAGUUAUUCUCCAACACAGAGAUCCCCUGGCUGUCGACCAUUGCCUUCUGCAGGAAGUCCUACCCCAACCACUCAUGAAAUAGUCACAGUAGGUGAUCCUUUACUGUCCUCUGGACUUCGAAGCAUUGGCUCCAGGCGUCACAGUACCUCUUCCUUAUCACCCCAGCGGUCCAAACUCCGGAUAAUGUCUCCAAUGAGAACUGGGAAUACUUACUCUAGGAAUAAUGUUUCCUCAGUCUCCACCAUUGGGACCGCUACUGAUCUUGAAUCAAGUGCCAAAGUAGUUGAUCAUGUCUUGGGGCCACUGAAUUCAAGUACUAGUUUAGGGCAAAACACUUCCACCUCUUCAAAUUUGCAAAGGACAGUGGUUACUGUAGGCAAUAAAAACAGUCACUUGGAUGGAUCUUCAUCUUCAGAAAUGAAGCAGUCCAGUGCUUCAGACUUGGCAUCCAAGAGCUCCUCUUUAAAGGGAGAGAAGACCAAAGUGCUGAGUUCCAAGAGCUCAGAGGGAUCUGCACAUAAUGUGGCUUACCCUGGAAUUCCUAAACUGGCCCCACAGGUUCAUAACACAACAUCUAGAGAACUGAAUGUUAGUAAAAUCGGCUCCUUUGCUGAACCCUCUUCAGUGUCGUUUUCUUCUAAAGAGGCCCUCUCCUUCCCACACCUCCAUUUGAGAGGGCAAAGGAAUGAUCGAGACCAACACACAGAUUCUACCCAAUCAGCAAACUCCUCUGCAGAUGAAGAUACUGAAGUCAAAACCUUGAAGCUAUCUGGAAUGAGCAACAGAUCAUCCAUUAUCAAUGAACAUAUGGGAUCUAGUUCCAGAGAUAGGAGACAGAAAGGGAAAAAAUCUUGUAAAGAAACUUUCAAAGAAAAGCAUUCCAGUAAAUCUUUUUUGGAACCUGGUCAGGUGACAACUGGUGAGGAAGGAAACUUGAAGCCAGAGUUUAUGGAUGAGGUUUUGACUCCUGAGUAUAUGGGCCAACGACCAUGUAACAAUGUUUCUUCUGAUAAGAUUGGUGAUAAAGGCCUUUCUAUGCCAGGAGUCCCCAAAGCUCCACCCAUGCAAGUAGAAGGAUCUGCCAAGGAAUUACAGGCACCACGGAAACGCACAGUCAAAGUGACACUGACACCUCUAAAAAUGGAAAAUGAGAGUCAAUCCAAAAACGCCCUGAAAGAAAGUAGUCCUGCUUCCCCUUUGCAGAUAGAGUCAACAUCUC